GUUCGAGCGUCAUUUCACCACUCAAGCCUGGCUUGGUGUUGGGCGACGUCCCCUUUAGGGACGCGCCUCGAACGCUCGGCGGCGUGGCACCGGCUUUAAGCGUAGCAGAAUCUUUCGCUUUGAAAGUCGGGGCCCCGUCUGCCGGAAGACCUACUCGCAAGGUUGACCUCGGAUCAGGCAGGGAUACCCGCUGAACUUAA
rnacentral:misc_RNA from 1 species